GAUGAACGCUGGCGGCGUGCCUAAUACAUGCAAGUCGAGCGAACGGACGAGAAGCUUGCUUCUCUGAUGUUAGCGGCGGACGGGUGAGUAACACGUGGAUAACCUACCUAUAAGACUGGGAUAACUUCGGGAAACCGGAGCUAAUACCGGAUGAUAUAUUGAACCGCAUGGUUCAAAAGUGAAAGACGGUCUUGCUGUCACUUAUAGAUGGAUCCGCGCUGCAUUAGCUAGUUGGUAAGGUAACGGCUUACCAAGGCAACGAUGCAUAGCCGACCUGAGAGGGUGAUCGGCCACACUGGAACUGAGACACGGUCCAGACUCCUACGGGAGGCAGCAGUAGGGAAUCUUCCGCAAUGGGCGAAAGCCUGACGGAGCAACGCCGCGUGAGUGAUGAAGGUCUUCGGAUCGUAAAACUCUGUUAUUAGGGAAGAACAUAUGUGUAAGUAACUGUGCACAUCUUGACGGUACCUAAUCAGAAAGCCACGGCUAACUACAUG
rnacentral:rRNA from 1 species